rnacentral:rRNA from 1 species
CUUGCGGUUUAAUUGGAUUCAACGCCGGAAAUCUUACCGGGACCGACAGCAAUAUGAAGGCCAGGCUGAAGACUUUGCCGGAUUAGCUGAGAGGUGGUGCAUGGCCGUCGUCAGUUCGUACUGUGAAGCAUCCUGUUAAGUCAGGCAACGAGCGAGACCCACGCCCACAGUUGCCAGCGUACUCUCUGGAGUGACGGGUACACUGUGGGGACCGCCGCUGCUAAAGCGGAGGAAGGAAUGGGCAACGGUAGGUCAGUAUGCCCCGAAUAUCCCGGGCUACACGCGGCCUACAAUGGACAGGACAAUGGGCUCCGAUCCCGAAAGGGAAAGGCAAUCCUUUAAACCUGUUCUUAGUUCGGAUUGAGGGCUGUAACUCGCCCUCAUGAAGCUGGAAUCUCUAGUAAUCGUGUCUCAAAAUGGCACGGUGAAUAUGUCCCUGCUCCUU